rnacentral:misc_RNA from 1 species
AAAACUGCAACUUAAACUCUCGGUAUCCCAAUAAGGAAAAAAUCCGCUAUACGAGAGUACUCAGUGCAUAAAAAAGAUAAACAUUAUAAAGAAUGGUAGAAAAAAAGUGACUGGACUGGUAAAAUGGAGAAGAUUGGCUUCAAAAAUACAAGAUUACUAUGUACAUUAUAUAUGAGUGUGCAAGGCAGCAGCUAGCAUAUGGGACCUAUCUUCCCUGCACAAUGCCACUGAACACUUGACUGUUCCCAGCAAGAGUUGCUUCCCACUCCACUGAGGAUAACAUUAUCUGUGAAAGUGUGAUCACCACGUGCUUCAUGUCCGGUCUCAAUAUUGGAUCAUCAUCCGCACACUGCUUAGCCAGCAUAGCCACCUUGAAAACACAGUCAGAAGGGUACAAAUCCAUCAAACUGGGAUCCAGCUGGUCCUUCAAGCUUGUCAUACUAGUGGAGUCUGGUGAGUUCCUCAGAGCUGCCAGCAUAAUGGACACUAAGGAGCGUCUUUCUGCAGUUUUCAUCACAUUGCCUUCAGUCCGGGUGACGGCCUCUUUACCUGUCAGCAUCUCAAAAAGAACAACACCAAA